GUUGUGAAUACUUUUUAAAUUGACACAAGCAAAGAGAAAACGGCAGAGAGAGCUGCAAAUUUCCACCUGCCAAAGACUUAAUGAAUUACAUUUCCAUUACAUUUCCAGAUGGGACUAAGUGCAAAUUGUAGCAGUUGGAGGUAGAAGGAGACUGGCUAAAGAGGUCUGCUGGAGUCAGCUAUGCUUUCCUGAGGACACUCUGGACACCCCCAGUCCACGAGGAAAGACGCUGGUGGAAGGUGGGCUCAAGCUGCCCAUCAGGAAUUGAACCACAUGAGGGCCACUAACAAGGCUUCCCAGACAAGUUCUCCCUGAAGUAGGAAAGAUGAGGACAUUGGGGCAGAAAAGAUGAAGUAGUUCGCCUAAGGACACACAGCAGGGAGAAUGUUGAAAAAUGUGUGUGAUUUUUGAUGGGAACAGUGACAAUGCCAGUCACAGCUGAGGGUGCUUUGCUGGAAGGAUCUGAAAUGACUGCAUAUACCCACAACGGAGGCCAAGACAGCCCACGUCUGAAGCCUUGCCCAUUCUGAUUCUUUGCAUCGUCAGCUCCCAACACUGUCAGUUUCCAUGGAGCCAUGGGGAUGAGAGGACUUGAGGCAAGUUCAGCUAGCGGAGCUCUGGGUCUGUCAGGAGAUGGAAGGAGCCUGACAGGUGUCGGCCAGGUAGCCCCAGAGCCUGCAGUCCUGGGUGCAGCUCCCAGUGGCUUGACAGUGAUCUUGCUUUGAAGUCCUCCCUCUAUUUAACAAAACCCUCUCCACAUAUUGUUUUGAAAAUGCCAAAGGGAACUUGAAACCUGUAUGAGGGGUGAGGGAAAAUUACAAAAGUAACAUCGUGACUUUGAAGACAGAGAUGCUCUGAACAGGGCCUUUAAUUUGCUCAGCAAGCUUGGACAGGUUCUUUUUUCUAUUCUGGACUCAUCACUCUUAUGACUUAAUGUGUGCUAAGUUGCUUCAGUCGUGUCCGACUCUUUGUGA